AACGCACGAGACCUGCGGACCUGCGGAAGGAUCAUUACCGAGUUUACAACUCCCAAACCCAAUGUGAACGUUACCAAACUGUUGCCUCGGCGGGGUCACGCCCCGGGUGCGUCGCAGCCCCGGAACCAGGCGCCCGCCGGAGGAACCAACCAAACUCUUUCUGUAGUCCCCUCGCGGACGUUAUUUCUUACAGCUCUGAGCAAAAAUUCAAAAUGAAUCAAAACUUUUAACAAUGGAUCU
rnacentral:misc_RNA from 1 species